rnacentral:lncRNA from 1 species
AACAGUUCAAUAAAUAUCACAGAAUGUUUGUGGAAAGAUUAGGGUUCAUUUCUUCUCCUUGUUACUCUGUUCAGGAACUUCUUCUUUCCAAACGCCUUGGGUACUGCCCCCGUCCUUUGCCGAAUCCACCUCAGGAAUCUUGGACACCUGCAUGGUUAACUGCUUCCUCCACCAAAUCCUUUCUCAGACGGCUUCUCCGAGAGGCCCGAGCUGCCUGCCCCAUGUGAAAUUUUCUCCACCACCCUCACCCCAAUGUGGUAUUGUCUUCUUUCCUUAGCAGCAACCACAGUCUUUGAUGUAAUUAAUUAGAUAUAAUUAAUAAUGACUAUACUUUUCUCAUUGACUAUUUAACAGUAUUAAAGCUAUGACUUACUAUCUCCUCCCUCAAGAGAAUAAGGGAUAAUUGCCAGUUUUCUUCACCCCUACUGACAUAAUCCUUGAUGCCUUUCUUGGCUCAGGAAGCUUCUGAUUGGCUGGGGGGGGGGGUCAGGUGCGCUGAGGGAAGUGGUCACAGAGCUUGCUGUUUAGAGCACCUUCCUGGACCUCCUCCUUAUCCUCCCACGUCCACACUCCAGCUGCCCACGGGCUGGUGAGAGCUCCUCGGACCCUCCAGCUCCCCCCGUCUCCCCUAAAGGCUUUCCAAGAGUAGCAUGGCCCACCAUCAGCCUCCUCGGUGGGUUCUUUGUAUGUAGGGAGCAGGAGCCCCAGGAUCCGUCCCAGGUCAGGCUACUCUAACAAGCUCCCUUAGACCAAAUGCCUUAGAUGGUCAGCGGUCCAUUUUUCUCAGUCAUGGAAGCCGAAAGUCUGGGAUCUGGGGUCUACGUGCUCAGGUUCAGGGGAGCUAUCUUCCAGGUUGCGGGCUGCUGGCUCCUCACGGGGACCUCAUGCGGGGCAGCAGAAGGACGAAAGCUCUUUGUGCCUCUUGAAAGGGCACUGAUCCCAUCUAUGAGGAUUCCACCCGCAUGACCUCUGCCUGCCCCCCUCCCCAAGGCUAACCUUCAGAUGCCAUCACCUGUCCGGGGUAGCAUAGGGUCUCAACGUGAGUCUGGAAGGGACAAGAUGUUCAUCCCCCAAGAGUAUCACCUUCUUAUCCUCUCUGUGGAGCCUGACACACCCUCCAAGGCACAUCUGCCAUGUCACCUGCUGAGGUGCUUAUAUUUGGGAGCAUAAGAGAGAAUCUUCAAGUACAGGUCUUACCUCUUUGUAGGUAGCUCAGUGCAGUGUGGGUAAUAGGUUUAGGGAGUCUCUUCUGUCUCAACUGUAAAUGCACACGCAUCCAAUAAGUGUGUGUGUGUGUGUGUGUGUGUGCGUGCGUGCGUAUGUGUGUUUUUGUGUCUAAGUGUAAGAGAAACUCUAAUGGGCACGAUAACUGAAUCCUUGUCCGAUGGGGAACACUCCUGCCUGAGAGGGAUUCAGACAUGAUCCCCUCUUGUCUUCACUCACCUGAGAAAUGGUUCCACAAACUUCUCUCUCUCAGCUCAGCUGAUUUCCUCAGAACUUACAGCCUCUUACCUAUUUCUUUAAUAAAUGCAUAAGUUUAUCUAAAAAUCCCUGAGGACCCUAAACAUAUCAUAUCUUGCAUCAUACCACUUCCUUCAAAUCAGAGGAUCUUGGUUUUUGACAAUUAGUUUAGAAAGACAGUGAUGGAGCUAAUGUUGCUCUAACAUGUGUGCAUGUUUAAUGAGAGAGAAAGACUAAUCGUUACAGGGUUCCCUUUCAGUGUAUGCAUCUGUCCAUUAGUUGGUGCAGAGACCCACCUACAAGGACACGAUCUCCUUCCUGACAGUGGUGCAGAGAAGAGUCAGGAGACUUAGCCAAAACUCAUAGGUGCCUGACUGUGUGCCAAAGGGAAUGUGGAGCUAAAAUGUAGGCUUGCUUUGCCUGAAUCCAGUAGAUAAAUUGAAAUGGGCAUGCUUAUUUAUUUAAGUGACUUUGUUCAACAUUAAAGGAGCUUAAGUAGAAAUAAUUUAUUUGGAGUCUUUCUUGGGGAGGUGGGGGCAGGAAGCAAAGCAAAUUGUAAUAAAGAGCAGAAAAAAAGGAGCAGGUAGGGGUGGGGAUAAACUCCUAGGGAAUCAUUUAUAAAAAUACAAAUGGAAAUUAGAAAAUAUGUGUAACGUGUAAAACUCUGUGGGGAGCUAUGUAAUCUAAUAGCAGAAACCAAGGAAAGCCAACUCCAAAAUCUUUCUCCUGGGCAUCUGGGAGGCCUGAGGUCACUAGGAGGCCUGAGGUUGGAAGGACCUAAAUGUACUUGAGACUAAAUACAUCCGUUUCCGAGGGAGGGAGGGGGGACGGAUGAUCAGUGAAAGGUGAGGAGCACGGGAGAUUUCCUCUUCUCAUUUGAAUGGAUUUGUUGUCUAAUGAAACUCCUCUAGCACCUUGUCGAGGAUUAAAUUUUCACACAGAGUUGAGAAUUUAAUUUUUUUUUUUUUUUUUAACCAGUGAUACAAUACCACAUCAAAGGCUUUAGGAGGAAUUCACUGUUUGCAGGAAGUACUCGAAUGGCAACCAGGGGGCCCUGUCCUUUUUUCCACAUCCCUAGCUGAGGUCUGGUUCUGUAUCACGGUGCGGUGAAGGCGUCUUCUAGAAGGUGAGGGGAAGAGGCUGUUUAAAUUCUUUUGGCAAGGGUGCAGUGCCACCCCGAAGCAGAGCAUUCCUAGUAGGAGGGGACAUGUGCUUCUCACAUUAAAUGGAUUGAAUGACAAAAGAGGUGUAACCCAAGAAUGGGAGCUCUGAGUGAGUCUGAAGGCUUGGCUGGGAGAGGGCCUGGGGUAGUGAGAAUUCCAAAGGGGCUGAGGAGCCUCUGAUACCUCUCUCACAACCUUUAUUGUGUUGUGGUAAUAAAAUGAUCAAGCACUCUGUGAACAAACAGCUAUGCCCAUGCUACUGAAAAGCUAGGCUGGGAGGACACAAAGAAGGAAAAAAGUACGUUCACCACUGACAUGUUGAGGCCACACUCCUGAUUUCUUCUUCCAUAUCCCUGGACAAAACAUGGAGCCACAUAUUUUGCUUCUUCUGGUCACCUUUGAGUUCAUUUUUUUUUUUUUUUUUUUUUUUUUUUUUUGUCUUUUUGUCUUUUUAGGGCCACACCCAUGGUAUAUGGAGAUUCCCAGGCUAGGGGUUGAAUUAGAGCUGUAGCCGCCGGCCCACACCACAACCACAGCAACGUGAGAUCUGAGCCACGUCUGUGACCUACACCACAGCUCACAGCAAGGUUAUAGUCACCUUCAAGUUCUAAAUAACUGGUGUCACUUCUGAUCCGAAACCAACUCUCAUUUCUCUCCAUCACCAACUCUGGUUCACCUCGGACUCCUAGGAACCUGUUAGGCCCAGGCAGUAUCAUUGACUCUUCUUUAGCUCUUUCUUCUGUUCUUCCUCCCCUUCUCACUUCCUCUGGCCCCUUUGGGGUCAGUAGUGGGAGAGGUAAGAAGAGGUGGUGACCUCCCUAUUCAGUGCCCCUUAGUGUGGGCAGUGCCCACACUAACUGGGGGCUCUGACUCCCUCCUCAGUCAUUGCUCUGUGUUCACGCCAAGACACUCUUUUAUUGGCAGGUGGACUUUUUGAACAGCUCCCUCUCAGUAAAGCCCAGGUCCGCUCCCCUCCAUGGUGUCCUUUUGACCUUGACAAAUUCAGGAUGUGAGGGACACCCCACCCCAGCCCUCUCUUCUCCUUGGGCCAACAUAGGGAACUCCAAGAAGGAUUUUGUCUAGACUGGUUUUCCCAGGGAACAGCAGCCUCUGGGCCCCACAGACUCGAAAAACAGAACAGUAUCUCCAGUUACUCAGACCCUGAGCUUUGUGUUCCAGGCCAUUUACAAUGGGAAGGCAGGCUUUUCUAGAUCAGCGUGGUCCUUUACCUACAAUAGUCCCGAUUAUUUGCUUGUGUUCUUAAAUCCCCUCUUGUUUGACUUGAGGUGGCAGAGGAGACAUCAUUACACACUCUUGUUUAGGUAAACAUGUAAAGGGAGAUGGAAGAGCCACAGCAACACGAGAUCCAAGCUGCAUCUGCGACCUACACCACAGCUCACAGCAACACCGGAUCCUUAACCCACUGAGCAAGGCCAGGGAUCGAACCUGCAACCUCAUGGUUCCUAGUCGGAUUCCUUAACCACUAAGUCAAGAUGGGAACUCCAGAUAGGACAGUAUUAAUCAAAAGGUAUAGCAGAUCAGGGGAAAUUUUUCAAAUUGUUGAAGUAAAAUGUGUUUGAAAUUCCCAGGGAUGGAGUUGACAGAGGAGAAAAGGUUCAAAAUGCUAAAUGGCAGAAAGAUGAUGGAAUAGGUUUUAGAAAGGAUGACAUGGGGUGGAAAUGUAAAGAAACUGUGUAGAAGUCUUGAAAUGCAUUUUGAGAAAGGGUCCAAAUGGUUCUAACAAGCCUAAUGUCAACAAAAAUCUAUAUAUAGAGCAAUUUCUGACAGAAAGGAAACCACCGUAGAACCACACGUAAACAAUGCCCAAGUAUGAAUGGCAUAGUCAGACAGUAGCAUUUCUAGUCUUGCUCUAUUAUGCCAGGGAAUGAUUUGUCAAUGUAAGUUCAGUAGAACUCUCUUAAUCCACCUCCACUUAAGGAACUCACAAAAUUACUAUGCUUGGCAUUUCCUCUGUAAGUAUGUGAUGACUAAUGCUCAUACUUCUUGAAUGUUCUGGGCUAGGAGGAUACCCUUGAGAAAGGCUCCUCAUUUCAACACUCACAUUUUGGUUGGAAUAUUUGCCAAGAGUCAGUUAUGAAUUUCUCAACUCUGCUUAAGUCAGAUGUAUUUGAUAGUGUAAAUGUGUAUUUAAAUAUUAUAUAAGAGAUGGAAUUUGCAUGUGAAGAACGUAUUUCUACUCAAGUCACUUUGGAAGACUAGGAAGAUUGUUAAGGUUAUGGAUUCUUUAUCUCCCAAAUUAAGACACAGAAAUUAGGCAGAUGUAAAUCAAAAUGUCAGCAUUAUUACCAAUUAUUAAAAAUAAGAUUGGACUCUGUAGUCUAGCAGUAAUACUGCAGCAUGCCUUGUAACGUAUCAUUCCAGAAUUUCACCACAGUUGUGCCAUCGUAGGUAGCUGUGGGCAACUGAUAACCUUCUCCCAUAGAGGCUUAAAACUCAUUUUUAUAGAGAAGUAGAAAUGUAUCUAUCAUGAGGACAGGCGAGGCUCGUAAGAAAGAAAUUACAGUCAUUCCUCAGUAUCCUCAGAGGCUCUCAGACCCUCUGGGACACCAAAACCUAAGGAUACUUAAGUCCCUUAUAUAAAAUGAUGUAGUAUUUGCAUAUAACUUAUGUAAUUCUCUUGUGUACUUUAAAUCAUCUCUAGAUGACUUGUAAAACCUAAUGCAGUGUAAAUGCUAAGAAAAUAAUGGUGAUUCAUGGCAAAUUCAAUUUUGCUUUCGGAAAUUUCUGGAAUUUUUUUUUUUUUUGGCUUUUUGUCUUUUUGUCUUUUCUAGGGCCACACUCGUGGCAUAUGGAGGUUCCCAGGCUAGGGGUCUAAUCAGAGCUGUAGCCACCAGCCUACACCAGAGCCACAGCAAUGGGGGAUCUGAGCCGCGUCUGUGGCCUACACCACAGCUCAUAGCAACACCAGAUCCAUAACCCACUAAGCGAGGCCAGGGAUUGAACCUGCAACCUCAUGGUUCCUAGUCAGAUUCGUUAACCACUGCGCCACGAUGGGAACUCCCCCAAAAUUUUUUUGAAUAUUUUUGAUCCCUGGUUGGUUGAAUCCAUGGAUGCAGAUCCUAGGGAUACAGAGGCCAACUGUAUCUGAUCUGAGCCAGUUCAGCUGCUUCUCCUGAACUCAACCAGUAGAUGCCUUUUCUCUUGCUAUCGAGGGUGGGAAAGAAUGAUCAGCAGGGUGAACUCUGAUUUCAUUCCAGAUGGAAAUGGGCAAGGGGAAUGAAGCACCUUUCUAGCAAAUUAUAAUCCCUCUCUCUUCCAAACACACACACACACACACACACACAAUUUCUAUACCUCAGGUAGAAGGAAGACAAAAAUCAAAUAUGAAAGGGAAGUCAUUAAAAUCAGGAUGGAAUUUACGUUCAGACUGAGUUUUUAAUUUAACUUUAAGGAAUCACAAUGAGAAAUUAUAAGCCAUAUAUUAUGAAUGUGUUUUAUGUGAAAGUCCAUUCAGUGAACCCCACUCAAAGAAAAGUUCUUGACUCAAUGAAACAUCAACAAGUAAAUGCAUAUUACUGUGUUUUGAGUUAUAAUAAAAUGUGAAAGUAUGUGAUUCCCGAAUUUUUAAAGUUAAACAACCGAAUUUUUAAAGUUAAACAACUGAAGCAAUGGUUCCGAUAACAUCAAACAAGAGGGUUUGUCCUAUCAACCUCACUGAUCAAAACUUACCCCAGAAAUUCCUGCUGUGGUGCAGUGGGUUAAAAAUCUGAUG